GACGAACGCUGGCGGCGUGCUUAACACAUGCAAGUCGAACGGAAAGGCCCUGCUUUUGUGGGGUGCUCGAGUGGCGAACGGGUGAGUAACACGUGAGUAACCUGCCCUUGACUUUGGGAUAACUUCAGGAAACUGGGGCUAAUACCGGAUAGGAGCUCCUGCUGCAUGGUGGGGGUUGGAAAGUUUCGGCGGUUGGGGAUGGACUCGCGGCUUAUCAGCUUGUUGGUGUGGUAGUGGCUUACCAAGGCUUUGACGGGUAGCCGGCCUGAGAGGGUGACCGGCCACAUUGGGACUGAGAUACGGCCCAGACUCCUACGGGAGGCAGCAGUGGGGAAUAUUGCACAAUGGGCGGAAGCCUGAUGCAGCAACGCCGCGUGCGGGAUGACGGCCUUCGGGUUGUAAACCGCUUUCGCCUGUGACGAAGCGUGAGUGACGGUAAUGGGUAAAGAAGCACCGGCUAACUACGUA
rnacentral:rRNA from 1 species